AAUUAGCUUCAAUUGGUCAGCUCUCAGUUCGGUGUGGCCCAGAGCCCUCUCUCUCGCUUUCGCGCUCGCUGGUUCACAGGUUGGAUUUCUCUUUCUCUCGGUUUCUCAAACUCUCUUCUGUCUCGCUUUCUCAAUCUGGAAGAGCUACCUCUUUCUGUCGGUUCCUCAAUAUCUCUCUUCUAUCGGUUUCCCAAUCCAUCUCGCUCUCUCAAUGUAGAUGACCUAAAGGUUUAUAUUUGUAUGUAAUUUUUUUCUCUACAGAAAAUUGGCAUUGAAACUCAGAGCAAUUACAGAGGUCAUCUACCCAACAACUCAAUCCUUUCGCUAAUCAGCAUUUGCUAUGGAUUAUGACUGUGAUUACGGCACGGAUGGUGUUUCUAUUGAUAAGUUGCAGUUAAAUUGGCUCAAUGUUCAACUUGAAAAAUGUGGCGUAGGCAAAUGAGGUAAUUUUUUGUUUUUUUCAUCACCAACUGUAAUGUUGUUUUUAUUUGCUCGAUUUGAUAUGGUGACAAUCAAAGCAUUUUUUUAUGUGUGUUAUUUCUCUUUAGAUUUUUUUGACACAUGGUGAUGCCAAGGGAAUCACAAUGGAGUUGGAGAUGGAGUGGGAUGGAAACCCUAAUAUUGUACUUGAUAUUAAAACCUGAGUUGGUGUUGGAUUACUUAUAUAUACAUGUGCUCUUCAAUUUAUUCCCCAUUUCAAAUAGUAAUCUUGCUUUUGCCUAAUUAGACUAGCAUGAAAUUAGUGUCAGAAAUCAUAUUGACUUUUCUUAUAAUUUUCCUCAUCCAAUUUUCCCACAACAUAUGACAAUCUCUCUCUGAAGGAUUUAUGAGUGCCUGGAAAAUCGGUUAUCAUGAAACAAAGUAAAGCAUGUUGAGUUAUUGGAAUUUUACUAUUAGAUCAUUAGAUGUCAUAUUAAUAUUUUGCUUCUCUAUGUUCAUCUAGGUCAAAAACAUUGCAUUCAGUGGGCUUUUCAGAUUAAUCUUCAAAUAGCUUGUUGACGAAUUUCCUUGUUUUGGGGGCAGUUUGUUUAUCUUUGUGAGCAAAGGUGAAAUGUCGAAUUCAGCGUUCUUGAAAAUUGCCGAGCAAGAUCUGCAUCAGUUUGGGCUUCUCCACCAAGCUUUGUGCCACAUUGAGCAUCUCCAGCAAGCUGUUCAUCACCUCUUGCCACCUGUGUUGAUGUUGUUCCACAAGUUCUGCUAUUUAAAGAAGUGUAAACUGUUGCCUUGCUGCAAUUUACUCUGCAUUUGGUCCAAGAAACAAAAGAGGCACGACAUUUCCUCAACUUCCAUAUCCCAGUUGCUGUGGCUUCCAUUUCUUACUUCCGUUGUCCUAUGUUUGCUUCGUUUAAAAUUUGGUUUUAGAUAUCUGGUUACAAGCUUUGUUAGUGCAGACGUUUAAUUGAAUUUGUUUUUGUUCAAAUUAAAUGUUCAUGCAUUUGUGCUUUGGUUUGCAGUCUUUUUUUUACAAUUGUUAAAUUUUUUGCC